UAUAUAAAUAUUUAUUUUAUAAUUUAUUUAAAUAAAAGAUUUUAUUGUUAUUGUAUUUUAAGGAUUGGAUUAAUUUAAUUAUAUUUUAUUAGUACUGUUAAGGAUUAUUAGGAUUAGAUUUAUUAAUAUAAGUUGAUUUAAUUUGUUGUACCUUGUGUAUCAGGGUUUAUUAAUAUAGUGUAAUAAAAUUUUUAGUUCUCGAUAUUCAAGGAGUUAAUUAAUUAAAGUGUUUAUUGUGGAAUAAAUAUUUGAAAUAGUUAGUUGGUAGUGAAAUAUUAUUCGAUUUGAAAUAUAUCUAGUUUUUUUGGAAAUAAAUUUAAUUUAUGUUUUAUCUUUAAUUUUUUUAUUUUGUAAUAAAUUUAAGGUUAGUGCUAUUAUUUAUGGGGAUUAGCUCAUAAAUAUAUUUAUAUAAUUAUUUAGUUUUAUAGUAAUGUGGAUUUAGAAUUGAUUAUCAUUUUGAGGAUUUAAAAAUUUUGUUAUGAAUUUUGUUUAAUUUUUUUAUAUUUAUUUUAUUUACUUAAAUUUUGAUUUAAUUUGUUAAUUGGUGUAAUUAUGAUGAAAUUAGUAAAUUUUUUUUAUUAAAUUAUUUAUUUUUAGUUAUUUUUUUUGAAGGAAUUCGGCAAAGGUUUAUAUUCGCCUGUUUAACAAAAACAUCUUUUUUUGAUUUAAUUUGAAAAUAUGACCUGCCCACUGAAUAAUUUUGAAGGGCCGCGGUAAUUUGACCGUGCAAAGGUAGCAUAAUCAUUAGUCUUUUAAUUGAGGGCUGGUAUGAAUGGUUGGACGAGAUAUAUACUGUCUUUGAUUAGAAUAUUUAUUGAAUUUAAAGUUCUUGUUAAAAUGCUUGAAUUUUAUUAUGGGACGAGAAGACCCUAUAGAGUUUAAUAUUAAAAUUAAUGUUUUUUGUUUAUUAAUUUAUAUUGUUAUAUUAGUAUUUAAUUGGGGUGAUUAGGAAAUAAGUGUAGCUUUUAUUAUUUUUUUACAUUAAUUAAUGAAUAUGUGAUCCAUUAUUUUUGAUUAUAAGAUUAAAUUACCUUAGGGAUAACAGCGUAAUUUUUUUUGAGAGUUCUUAUUGACAUAAAAGAUUGCGACCUCGAUGUUGAAUUAAGAUUUAUAUUAGGUGAAGAAGCAUAUUAAUUAGGUCUGUUCGACCUUUAAAAUCUUACAUGAUUUGAGUUCAGACCGGCGUGAGCCAGGUUGGUUUCUAUCUAUAAUUAGUUUAAAAUUUCUUAGUACGAAAGGACCAGAAAUUUGGAAUAAUUUUUAUUUUUAGUAUUAUAUUGAAAUG
rnacentral:rRNA from 1 species